CGGACUGGUCAAUUUAUUGAGCAGUUAGUGGCGAAAGGGUUAGUAAUGAAUAGGUAACGUACCCUGUGCUCCGGGAUAGCGUCAUUCGCCUUCGGGCGAAUUUCCGAAAGGGGCAGUAAUACCGGAUAAUAUCAUGUGUCGAUAGGCACAUGUUCAAAGAUUUAUCGGCGCAGGAGCGGCCUAUUUCCUAUCAGCUUGUUGGUGAGGUAAAGGCCCACCAAGGCAAUGACGGGUAGCGGGACUGAGAGGUUGGCCCGCAACAUCGGGACUGAGACACUGCCCGGACCUCCACGGAGGGCUGCAGUAACGAAUCUUGCGCAAUGGGCGAAAGCCUGACGCAGCGACGCCGCGUGCGGGAAGAAGUCCUUCGGGAUGUAAACCGCUGUCAGGGGUAAGAAAGUCCACUUCGGUGGAUUGAUCUAACCCAAAGGAAGCCACGGCUAACUUCGUGCCAGCAGCCGCGGUAAGACGAAGGUGGCAAGCGUUGUUCGGUAUCACUGGGCUUAAAGCGUGUGUAGGCGGAAAAGUAAGCGUCGCGUGAAAGCCCCCGGCUUAACCGGGGAACUGCUCGACGAACUGCUUUUCUUGAGGCAAGUAGGGGUGCACGGAACUCUUGGUGGAGCGGUGGAAUGCGUAGAUAUCAAGAGGAACGCCGGUGGAGAAAUCGGUGCACUGGGCUUGUGCUGACGCUGAGACACGAAAGCGUGGGGAGCGAACGGGAUUAGAUACCCCGGUAGUCCACGCCGU
rnacentral:rRNA from 1 species